GACAGUUGUCAAGCUGACAGUUUACAUUUUACGAUGGUGUAAAUUUAACAGCUUAACGAACUUAAGCGAGGAUUUUCAAAAUUAUGUGACGGCAUUUCACGAAUUCAGAGAUUAUGGUAGCCUCGUGAAUUGUAUCGAUUAGUCUGGAAUAUUUUUGAUUUUCGUUUCAUACCAAUCGGAAUUUCGCUACUAAUAGAGCAGUUCCGUCGAAAGAUGAUUUGCCUCUCCCUGUACGCCCUGAUCGCGUCAGCAACUUUACUAGCCUGCGUACCCGUUUGCUACAAACGCUUCGAGAUGCAAAAGUUCCUUCAGUGCAUCAAGAAGUAGGUAAACGAUGUUGAUUUGCAUGACCUGUUUCACGGCGCUCGUGGCGGCGGGCUGUAUCGCGUGCGGGCCAAUAGUUUUGGACACUUAUUGGCCCAUAAAGAAGUCCAAGGAAAAAAAGAA